CGCUUGCUCUUGCCAACAACUCUUCAUCCUCACCCCAUCCAAGUUAAUUCGUUCACCUCACCACCUGCUUCUCCCCACACCGAGUCUUCUGCCUUCUCUUCCAGGAGUCAAGUGCAAACAGCCCCAAGUCCUGGCACCAGCUGUCCGGCUGGCGUCACCCACCCUGGAAGCUUGUGCGUUUUUUUGCUUUUCACACAGGUCCCUUACUCCAUCUCACCAUAGAAACGUGUUCUGCUUGGUGGCCAAGUUCCCUACCCAGCAUAGCUGGGGACAAACUUGGUCUUGUGGUUUAGCCUGGCAUUGUGACUGCUACUUUUGCUAACUUUGCUCAGUGUGUAAAAAGAAAAGAAAGAAAGAAAAAAGAAACCAGACAUCAACAAUAUACUCUUUGUAUUCCCAUCUCAUUUUUAGC
rnacentral:lncRNA from 1 species